GAAACCUGUUUACAACACCCUGCUGCGAUUCGAUGGCAUACAGGUCACCGGGUUCAGGCUAGGUGUGUAUUCAUCCUUUGAGGUAUAUGUCAACACCCGAAUGAAUACAACGACCUUGGGGCAGAAAACCGCGGCAGCAGCGAAAGCAUUGAAAAACACCAUUGAAGUGGAAACUGAAGGCCUUGUGGACAUAAGCGCCCCCGAGCAGCCGGUGAAGCUGAACAGCAUGAUCGACAUCGUCUGCAAUUCGUCCCAAAGCGAUAUGGCGGAGUGGAAACAGGCCACACACAAAGAGGUCUCUCAGAUCACCAACGGAACGGAGUCUAUUGUGACAUCACAAGGACACGGGACCACCAAACUCACACUCAAACAAACAUCUGGAAUUUGGGCAGGCCUGAUCACUUGUACCUUCGGGCCAGAAUUCAUUACCGGUGUGAAGAUACUUCACAGAGCCAGUUUCAAACUGGAUGUCGCACUUCUGCCUCAAAUCGACAUCUUCAGCGACCCCCAGUUCCCCGAAUGUGGAAAAGACUCCACAGUGGUGUCUGUAAGAGUGAAAUGUCAGAUAAAGAACAGCACCGAACAGUACGGCGUACAUUGGAUCGUGAAGGGGAAUUAUUCACAAUUGGCGACAGGAGCAGACGUCGAAAAUGAUCUGCGUUGUCAGGCGGGCGAGGAUUGGCCAGUCACGAAGGCCGGCUUCACUGCCAAGCUGCGUUGUGAGGGAGCUAGAGAGGGGUUUA
ensembl:lncRNA